AAGGCCUUCUUUUGUGGAGCUGGGCUGUGAAAGAAAGGAGAAUGGUAGAAGGACAGGAGUGCUAGCUGUGAAGUGGGUGCAAAGUUGAGGGAGAAUUAUUUAUUUAUUUAUUUGACUAAAUCUCUUUUACAGGAGCAAGGAACAUGUUAUUGAGAUACAGUUUUUGAGGAAAUAAGUUAUGAAACAAAAUAUUGCAAGAGAGAGCAAGGGAUUUGCCUUUGAAACAAGAAGAAUUAACUUUUAGUGCAGGAGCUUAAACUUCUGAGAUGAGAAGAAAAGGGAAAUGAGUCAUAGGGUGCUGACACAUAUGUUUGCUGCAGUCCUCUGUGACAUAGGCGAUGUGGUCCCUGCUAAGAGGGCAGAGGAUGUGAAAGCAACUCGAUCUCAGUAACUUCACUGAUAUGUCUGAUGGUGCUAAACCAUAGUGGGUUUAUAUGUCAAGGGUUCAUGGUUAAGAGGACUUGAUGCACACAUAAAAUAAAAUAUUCAAGGCAAUGACAUUUCUACGGAUAUGUGCACAUGGCCUGGUUUAGGACCAGAAAUCGGAAUGCGAGGCCAGAGAGGACAUUUCAAGGUCAAGGAUAUGAAAGCAGCCAGGACAGCAGACAGCCACCUUCUCCAGCCUUUACUUCAUAUGUGUUUACAUCGGGAAGAGAGAGCAAGCCAGCCUAUGAGAGUGUCAGCAUGCAGUUUCAAAAACUCCUAGGACUCACUCAGCAUUGCCAGCAUAAUCCAUGGCCCAUUCUUGGCCAAAAAUCUGCAGGACACUGAAUGCCUAUAUCGGGAUCACACUGCCAUUGCUGGAACCUGAAGAUGACUUCAGCUCACCUCAGAAGUGGGUUCCACCAAGAACACUGAGAUGCUACUAACAGAUGGAGAAGCAAUGAGAUCUUGGCCAGGCAGAAAUCACAGCAAUUUCCCUGGAGGACCUUGGAUUCUCAGCAUCACCUGGGGUAUCAUCUCCUCUCUGCCAUCACUGAUUGCUACUGAACUUCCUCUUGAAUACUCCUUAUGUUGACACAUGUUUUUGC
rnacentral:lncRNA from 9 species